GCUACAAGCCAGGCUAUCGCUCGUUGUCAUCCUGAGUUUAUCGAAGGAAGCAACGGGAGGAAAGUCCGGACAGCACAGAGCAAUGCACCGGUGAAUAGCCGGCCUGUUGAAAGACAGAGAGAUAGUGCCACAGAAAAUUACCGCCUGAUGUAGCUUUUGCGGAUGGGGAAGCCCGCUUAUGGAGGUUUGCAAAUGGGCAAGCCCUCCUUCGCUAAAGCUACGGAGGGCAAGGUUGAAAACGUGGGGUAAGAGCCCACGGCUUAUGGCAGUAAUGCCAUUCGCGGGUAAACCUUGCAUGCUGAAAUGCCACGUAUAGUACCCGGUAAGGGCGGCUCGCCCGUGAUUGUUGCAAAACAAUCGGGGUACAGGGUAGGCAGAUUGAGCCCGGUGCGUAAGUGCCGGGACAGAUAAAUGAUAGGCCGCACAUGUAAAUGUGUUACAAAAUCCGGCUUAUGGCUUGUAGCUUUU
rnacentral:RNase_P_RNA from 1 species